AACGGCCAUACCAUGUUGAAUAUACCGGUUCUCGUUAGAUCACCGAAGUCAAUUGGGCGCGGUUUGGGUGGGUGACCACCUGGGAACACCGCGUGCUA